rnacentral:rRNA from 1 species
GAGCGAAGCUUUUUGGUAGUUUACUACUAGAAAUGACUGAGCGGCGAACGGGUGAGUAACGCGUGAGCAAUCUACCUUAGUUACUGGGAUAGCCCGAGGAAACUCGGAUUAAUACCGGAUAUUCUUAUUUUUUCACAUGAAGUUUUAAGGAAAGGUCAGCCGAACUAAGAUGAGCUCGCGUUCUAUCAGCUAGUUGGUGGGGUAAAAGCCUACCAAGGCUACGACGGAUAGCUGGUCUGAGAGGACGAUCAGCCACACUGGGACUGAGACACGGCCCAGACUCCUACGGGAGGCUGCAGCAGGGAAUAUUGUGCAAUGAGCGAAAGCUUGACACAGCGACACCGCGUGUGGGAUGACGGUUCUAGGAUUGUAAACCACUUUCAGGAGGGAAGAAAAUGACGGUACCUCCACAAGAAGACCCGGCCAACUAUGUGCCAGCAGCCGCGGUAAUACAUAGGGGUCAAGCGUUGUCCGGAUUUAUUGGGCGUAAAGAGCUCGUAGGCGGUUCAACAAGUCGGUCGUAAAAGUUUAGGGCUCAACCCUAAAAUGUCGAUCGAUACUGUUGUGACUAGGAUACGGUAGAGGUGAAUGGAAUUCCGAGUGUAGCGGUGAAAUGCGUAGAUAUUCGGAGGAACACCAUUUGCGGAGGCAGUUCACUGGACCGUGAUCGACGCUGAGGAGCGAAAGCUAGGGGAGCAAACAGGAUUAGAUACCCUGGUAGUCCUAGCUGUAAACGAUGGAUACUAGAUGU